rnacentral:lncRNA from 1 species
AUCAGCACCACACUACUGGGUUUGGUCAUACUUAGAAACAGUCAACAAAGAAACAAACCCUAAAAGUGAACAGCGAUUUUCCAACCAUAGGAAGGAAUAACUUUAUUCUUUUGAGCCUUAUGACUGUGAACAGCCUGACUGGACUGACUGAUGGCAGUGGGAAUACUCACAGGAGAAGAGAGAGUUGGGAUCAGAACCAUGCAAAGGUCACCAUUUGCAAGGACUUUGCUCAAGCCUCACAUGGAAGGGUUGCAGAUUUCUGCAGAUGGUCUUGCAGCUGAAGAACAUGUCAUUUGCUCAGAACUCCAUGGAAUUCAAUCUUCGGCUGCAUCCAGACAGCCAGAAUUAGGGUUUCAGUCUUAGCAUACUGGAGUUUCCUGCCAGCCCUUUGCUUUCUCACAAUGAUAAUUGAUUUUAUUGUGUGCUUCAGGUAUUGUACUGUGGAAAAAAGGACAUGGGAAUCAUGGAGCCAUCUUGCAGGAAUCAAAGAGUGAGGCUGGAGACCUAGACAGUGUGGAGAGCAAUGUGAGAUGGAAGUCUGAGGAACAAAACCAUAAUGAACAUCCUUAAAAAGCCUGUUUAUUGGUGCUUGCAAAUGUUAAGUUUAUGUUCACAAGGGUAUUGCUAUCAAGACUCAUGAGUACAUGAUUUUCUUCUUUGUCCUGGAAAUUAUGGAAGGUCGUGUGUGAGUUUGCUUUGCCCUCCUCUGUGCCUUCUGGUAGAGGACAGCAUCUGGACCAAUGUUUUUAAAAGGAAGUCGUCCUUUCAUGUUUCCAUAUCUGUUAGCACACUCCUCAGGCAUCUGACUCUUUCAACCCUUCUAAUCGUGUAGUAAAACAUGUUAAAAGAAUAUAUCUAGCCAAAUAGGCGACUGACUCUCAAAAGCAGUUGUUCUUUUCCAGCAAUGGCUUCUAGUUCAAAAAUCUCAGCCAUCUGCUUUCCAUCUUAUGUAUAUUGAUGUUAUAUUUUAUUUAGUCAGCAUUUUAUGGGGCCAUUAUAAUAAGGGGAAGUCUGAGUAAUUAAAACUGUAUCAUGGCUUCAUGAUAAUUAGUGGUAAAACACAUCUGUUGACACAAAUUUAUCUCUGUUUUUCUUUCUUUCACUACUUCAACUGCUUUGGAGAUUCUGAUGCUUUUCUCCUGUGACAUCAGUUUAGUAGUCCACUGCACUCGCAAGGUUGCUGUUAAUGUUAAUAAGGGCUGGCUGCAAGUGUGGCAAGCACUUACAAGGGACAGGGUCAUCCAAAACCACAGACUGCUGCCUUCCCUGUUUAUUCCUCUUGUCCCUUCCUCUGGAAUAUAGAAAUUUUCAACUAUUCCAUCUUCAGAAACAUUUCAGUUACAGCACAGGAGCAGCUGUGAUAUGUUUUGCUGUAAUUCAAA